rnacentral:rRNA from 1 species
UACGUAGGGUGCGAGCGUUUGUCCGGAAUUACUGGGCGUAAAGAGCUCGUAGGUGGUUUGUCGCGUUGUUCGUGAAAACCGGGGGCUUAACCCUCGGCGUGCGGGCGAUACGGGCAGACUGGAGUACUGCAGGGGAGACUGGAAUUCCUGGUGUAGCGGUGGAAUGCGCAGAUAUCAGGAGGAACACCGGUGGCGAAGGCGGGUCUCUGGGCAGUAACUGACGCUGAGGAGCGAAAGCGUGGGGAGCGAACAGG